rnacentral:tRNA from 1 species
GGUGUAGCUCAGUUGGUAGAGUGCUUGUUUUGAAAGCACAAGGCCCUGGGUUCAAUCCUCAGCACC